ACUGGAAGAUUGGGUGGAGGGUCAAUAAGGAAAGUGAGAACCUGGUUAAGAGAGAUGAAAUUGCUCUACUUGUGCAGAGUUUUAUGGACCUUGGCAGCUACCACGGAAGAGAAAUGAGGAAAAAAGCAAUGGGAAUACGAAAGAUCUUUCAAGAGUCAAUUGAAAGUGGAUCCAUUCAAGGAAAUAUUAACAAGUUCAUUCGGGAUAUUUCUCGAGGCCCAAGUCAAUAAUGUUUGGUUAUAGAGAAGUUAUGCAGAUAUAGUCUGUAUGAACUAAAUAAAUAUAAAAAUUAUUUCUGUAAUAUGUUUCACUUGGGAAGAGUAUCCAACUCUUUAUUGAAUAAAACACAAACAAGCUAAGCGCUGCCAAUGUUUCUACCUACUGUUAUUCACAGGCAUCCUGCCGAUGUUUCGACAUGCUGCUUUUGUGGAGAAAGAAACUAGUAUCAACUACUUGAUACUGUAAUCUAAUCUGCAAUAUUAGAAAUUUGAUCAUUGCACACAACAAUAAUAUUGUGUGACUUCAUGUCACAGUGACUGAUUAUUCCUCUGUUGUGAAUGUGACUAAGCCCUAAAACAGCUUUCUUUGUGUAUUUUGCACUUCAAACUUGGAUAACAGUUGUUCUUGUGUCACUAUAUAGUAUUUCUCAACAUACUAACAACUCAUAUCUUUUUUAACUUUCCUGUGUCAGUGAUGGUUCAAAAUCACUGUGUGACUAUAGAUUAAGUAAAGGAAAAGGAAUUAGAAGAUACACAAGUAUAUUAUGUAUAAAAUAUUACCUUCAUACUUUUUCUAUUGAUUUGAUUAUGUUAACAAAUAUAUUAAGUACUUCUUCUAGAUAUACAAAAUUAUUAAAUUAAUUUUUUUUUAUAUAUUUUUAUUUAUGAUAACUAAAUAAGAUCUAAAUAUCAAAUAUUAAUAUACAUGUAUGAUAUAUAAUAGCACUUAAUUAUUAUGGAAAUAUCAUAAAAAACUUGCGGUAAGAAUGAUUAUUAAAUUAACUUUUUAUGUAUUUUUAUUUAUAAUAAGUAAAUAAGAUCUAAAUGCCAAAUAUAAAUAUACAUGUAUUCAAAGGCUAUUCAGGAUUUCGGAAGGAUGGGCGCACUAUUACGAAAAAAUACAAGAUAUAAAUUUAAUUGUUUUAGAAUAAUACUUCCUCUGUUUACUUUAACUUAUCCGGUAUACAAAAAUAUUUUUUCUCUUUGAUUUUAACUUUUAACUUUUCAAGAAAAUAUAAUUAUUUUUUUCAUAUUUCAUCUUUAAUAUUAAUUACUUAUUUCUUAAAUUAUUUUUGAAGACUUAAUAAUUAAUAGAAUAUUAUAGUUUUGAAUAUGCUAAAUCUGACGAGGUAUAACUAAAACGAAGGAGUAUUUCUUACUUAGGAGCACAACAUGAUAAGUAAGAAAGCAGUCAAAGUUGCUGCCCAACACAACCUUCGUCUUCACUGAUCAUCAAUCUGGUCAACUUUGUCAGUCCUAAAACCCUAGUUUUUCGCUUUUCCAAUUCAUAAAUAAAUGGAAACUACUCAACCUCUAUUUAGUUGCCAUAUAUUGGCGAUUCCAUAUCCAGGUAGAGGCCACAUCAAUCCUUUGAUGAAUCUGUGCAAGCUCAUAGCUACAACGUCCAAACCAAAUCAUCUACUACAAAUCUCUUUUAUUGUAACUGAAGAGUGGUUCAGCUUUUUGAAAUCAGAGCCAAAACCAGAUAAUAUUCAAUUUCAAACAAUUCCAAAUGUAAUUCCAUCAGAAAAGGAUCGAAGCAAAGAUUUGUUGGGGUUCGUGGAAGCUGUGUAUACUAAGAUGGAAGCUCCCAUUGAUAGUAUACUUGACGGGCUUCCGAAGCCCAAUGUGAUUUUAGCUGAUUCGUUAUUGCCGUGGGCCGUCGGUAUUGGGGAACGGAGAAAUAUUCCGGUGGCUUCAUUUUGGACCAUGUCUGCCACGGUUUUCUCCAUCCUUCAUCACCAUCAACUACUCUUGGCUAAUGGACAUUUUGAAGUCAAUUUGGCAGGUAUACUUGUUUUUAAGUUGUUAGAUUGAUGCCCUGUUUGAAUAUUGUUGGUUGAAGGACACAAUUGGUUGUCACAACUUUUUAUUAUAUUACAAUUUUGAUCACUCACUUGUUGCUUGCUUUAGCAAUACUCUUUACUUAACACUCACUAUUAUUUUCUUACUUGAUUACUUGGUUACAAUUCAAAUGAAUCACCUCUAUUUAUUGAUAGUGAUAGAAGAAUCUAGCUAAAGAUUUUUCUACUAUGUUCUGUUCUUCUAACUACCUAUUUUUAUAACUAUUUUUUUUAGAACAUUUCUAGACUUUUGUUUCAAGAAUAUGCAUUCUUGUAUUUCUUUACAACUCAUUAAUAUUCUAGAUUCUUCUUUGAAAUAUCUUGGAAAUUAAUUAAGAUGGUGAUCAAUUCUUAAUAUGCAUGUCAUGUAAUUGUAACCUUAACAGUUUGAUAUAACUGCAAACAUAUUUCCUUUCCACCGGGCGGUGUCGGCUGAGUUAGAAUUUUGCAUUAAAAAAAAAGAAAUAGUUUAUUAAGCUUUGAAAACAUUAUUAACAUAUAUUAAAACAACCGUGUAACAUGCAUAUAAAAUAUGAAUUAAAAUUAUUGGCUUCUUAAUGUCAAAAUUAGAUGUGUCAAAAAUGAGCUCAAUUAUAGGUAACCCGCUCAUAAUUUUAAGGGUUGGAUUCCAUCUCAACUCAUUCAAACUUUAGCUUAUUUUCAAAUAAUCCUCAAUUGAGCCUAAUUUAAUCUCCAAUUUCAACAUGUUUUAAGACUCUUUAUUUGCAUUGAUGUAAUGUAUGUACCUAUAUUAAAUGUAUGAAUUACUAUCUAUUUUAUAUCUUUUAGGAUUUAUCUAUUUAUUUUUAAGUUCUUUUUUAAAAUUUUCAUGAAUUAAAAUUCAAAUAGUGGUUAUAAAACUUAAAUAAGAAUGUAUUAAAAUUAUUGAGAUUAAGCGGAUCAAGAUUCAACCCGUUUUAAAGCCCAUUUGAGCUCAAAAUAAACCUGGGCGGGUCAGUAUCCAACCCAAUUUCUAUUUCUACCCAUUUUAAUAUUUUUGAUUUCAACCCAAUCCACCCAUUUGACGCGCCUACUCAUAAUGAACAGAACAAGGAGAAGAGCUUGUAAAUUACAUUCCGGGGAUUACACCAAUUUGUGUAAAGGAUCUCCCACCUGUGUUCCACUGCAAAUACCGGGAGAUGUUGCACUUGAUUCUUGAAGUUGUAUUACAGUUGGUCAAUAUAGCACAAUACGCCCUGUUCACCACCAUUGAACCAUUGGAAUCUCAAGUAAUUGAGGCUUUACAAGCUGAAAUUCCAGUCCCCAUUUUCACAGUUGGUCCAACAAUCCCUUACUUGGAUACCGAAUUCAAGACUAACCAGCCUUGUCCUAACUACUUGUCAUGGCUUGAUGAUCAACCUAAGGACUCUGUUCUAUACAUAUCCCAAGGAAGUUUCUUGUCAGUAUCAAAUACACAGUUAGAUGAAAUUAUAGCGGGUGCGCACAGCAGUGGUGUCCGUACAUUUUGGGUGGCACGUGAAACUUCUUCCUUACUUAUAACAGAUGGAAUUGGGAAGAGGGGAAUCGUGGUGCCUUGGUGUGACCAAUUGAGAGUUUUGUGCCAUCCUAGUGUAGGUGGAUUUUGGUCGCAUUGUGGAUGGAAUUCAACCAAGGAAGGUGUGUUUGCUGGCGUUCCGUUUCUUACAUUCCCCAUUGUGGCUGAUCAAUUUACCAACAGUAAACAAAUAGUGGAGGACUGGAAGAUUGGGUGGAGAGUCAAUAAGGAAAGUGAGAACCUGGUUAAGAGAGAUAAAAUUGCUCUACUCGUGCAGAGUUUUAUGGACCUUGACAGCUAUCACGGAAGAGAAAUGAGGAAAAGAGCAAUGGGAAUACGAAAUAUCUUUCAAGAGGCAAUUGAAGGUGGAGCCAUUCAAGCAAAUAUUUACAAGUUCAUUCAGGAUAUUUCUCAAGGCCCAAGGCAAUAAUGUUUGGUAUGUGAAGAAGUCAUGCAGAAAUUAUGUAUGAACUUAAUAAUAUAAAAACUAUUUUUGUAAUAUGUUUCACCUGAGAAGAGUAUCAAACAUUUUCUUCGCUCUAAACUGCUGAGCAUGUAUAUGGCCCAAACUUUCGCAGUACUACUCUUUGUUGAAUAAAUGAAGUGGAAAGAGAACACAAACAGGAUGCACUUGGUGAGAGCAAGAAUUUUCUGCCUGCUGUUAUUCACAGGCAUCCUGUCAAUGUUUCAACAUGCUGCUUUAGUGGAGAAAGAAAUUAGUACCAACUACUUGAGUUCAGGAACCAGGUUCCUUACUCUUAACUGAAAGCAGUAACAAAAAUAUCUCGAGUUUCAUGUAGAAACCUCCUUACUCAAGAGAGUAAAAACCACAGCCUCCAAUGUGCAGGAUUUCAGCAACCAAUAUUGUAGACUCUAUCCUCUUUUACCUUGUAGAUCUCAUUAUUGAUGGACAUGUAAUGUGCUUGCACCUGAUAUAUAUACAAACAAUAGUAUAUUCAGCAUUUAAAUUAAUGGUUUCUAUUUUUCAAAUGCAAGUGCUAAUUUUUUUUUACUUGUUUUCACACACAUACAUUAUAUAUAUUUAUUCAGUUGUGGGUUCAACGAAACUAUAUCAUACUUUAAAUCCGCCGCCAUAUAAAAAAUACAUACAUAUAUAUUUCUUCCCAUCCUGAUAUUUUGGGAGGGCAUUUAGCGUCAAGCCUCUGUAUAUACGUAGGAAAACAAAUUUCUCGAGCUUUAGGGGUCGUUUGGUGUGAAGAAUUACACAAAAUAGUUAUGGGAUUAAAUUGUAGUGCCACUUAAUUUGUUGUUUGGUUGGCAUGUUCGGGAUAACUUAUCUCGGGAUUAAUAAUUAGUGCUGGGAUAAGUUAUCCCUCCUUUUGAGUGGUAUAGUAAUUCCGGGAUAAAAUAAGUAAAUGAGAAAAAUAUCCUUCAAAACUUUUUCUAUACAUCACUUUUCACAUUCAUUAAGGGUACUUUUGUAAACAAAUAAAUUAUUCUUAAAAUUAAUUUAUGCAAAGCCUAUUAUUUUGAAUACAACAUAACUUAUUCCAUCAUAAUUUAUUCCAUCAUAAAUUGAAUUCAAACCAAACGACAAUAAGUCCUGAAUUGCAGUGGUAGCAAGUGGUUAUUAUUUGUCAAUGUACGUAGGAUGUCAGCAUUGAAGCACAACAAUGCUUGUAGAGUUGUAAUACGUACCAACUGCGCAUUAAGCUAGCUCUUGCAAUGUGCAUAAGUAAAAGCGAACAGAACAGUAAUUCUUUCACAUGAUCGAUAGUUCUAAACAUUAAAAAAAAUUGUGCCACUUAUUGUUAGAAAGUUUAGGAUAGUACAGAUUCAGUGGCGAAUUUAUGUGUAAAAAUUGGGUCACCCAAACCCAUGGUCCUCCGACUAAACUCGAUAUAUUACUUGUAUAAUUAUUAAAGAACAUAUUAAAUAAACACUUGUUGAACUUGUUCUUAAAGUUGCUGGAUGGUUCACUGGUUUGACAGUCAAAUUUUAACACCAAGGUCCUGAAUUCAAUCCCCGACAACCACAAUUCACUUCAAUUUUUUUUAGUAACUAAUAACACUUGUUUUUUCAAAAAAAAAAAAUGAAAUUCUAAAGCAAUGGUACACCCGUUUUCUUGAAAUCCUGGAUUCGCCUCUGUACAGAUUAAACAUCUGUGGCCAUAUUUAAGGCCACAUAUAAUUGUUGUCAUUUAGCAUCUCAACGUUAUCAGUCCUAAAACCCUAGCGGAAAUUAACUCAACCCAAAUAUAUGUGUAAAUGGAAACUGCCGACGUUGAUCAACCCCUAUUUAGUUGCCACAUAUUGGCAAUUCCGUAUCCAGGUAGAGGCCACAUCAAUCCAUUGAUGAAUCUGUGCAAGCUCAUAGCUGCAACGUCCACACCAAAUCAUCUGCUACAACUCUCUGUUAUUGUAACUGAAGAAUGGUUCAGCUUUUUGAAAUCAGAGGCAAAACCAGAUAAUAUCCAAUUUCGAACAAUCCCAAAUGUAAUUCCAUCAGAAAAGGACAAGGCCAAAGAUUUGUUAGGUUUCAUGAAAACUGUGUUUACUAAAAUGGAAGCUCCGGUUGAUAGUAUACUUGACGGAGUUCCAAAGCCCAAUGUGAUUUUAGCUGAUUCGUUCUUGCCGUGGGCCGUCAGUAUUGGGGAACGGAGGAAUAUUCCGGUGGCUUCAUUUUGGCCCAUGUCUGCAACGAUUUUCUCCCUCUUUUAUCACUAUCAACUAUUUCUCGCUAAUGGACAUUUUGAAGCCAAUUUCACAGGUACUUUUUCCACGGUUAGUUGUUAGAUUAUCAGUAGAAACAUAUUUCCGGUCAAUUUAUUGAGUUUUGAAAAAUUAUUUAUAUUAAUGGAGUUCUUAAAAUUUGGACUAAUAAUCUGUUUGGUCAAAUUUUCGAAAAGUUAAAAGUGUUUAUUUAAAAAACAUACUUAAAAGAAUCACACUUGUUCUUAUACUUUUACGGUACUUUUUCAAUAUACUAGUAUCUAGUACGUGCGUUGCACGUGUAUCCAAGCAAGGACUGAUUCGUGUUAUAGUUUCCAACCCUUCCAAUAUUAAGCAUAAAUCUAUGUGUAAAAAAUCACUAAAUUGCAACAAAUAGUCAACAUAAACCAUGAGUCAUUUAGUACAAAAUUGAACACAUAAAAUAUGAUUUUUAGACAUUAUUAAUAAUAGAAACAACAGUUAAAAAAACAUAUUAAAGAAACAGUGGCAGAACAAAGAUUUUCACUAAAAGGGGUUCAAGAUAUGAAGAACUAAACACACAAAUGUUCAACAUAUACUAUAUAUACAUAAAAAAAUUUAUUUAGAUCAUAUGUAUAAAUAGUGCAAUUUUCCGUCAAAGAGGUUUGAAUGAACCCUCUCGGUCUUACCCGACUCCCCGAUAAAACAGAUGGGUUAAGAAUGAUCCUUUCAACUUCAUCUCAUAUCAUGUUUUGUUAAGAUUGUGCUUUGUAAUAACAAUAUAUAUAAGUGAAUAGAUUCAUUUUCUAAUCAGGGUGACUUACAUUUUUCCUUAAACUUUUAUAACCCAUUAAAUUAUUGUGCCAGGUAACUUUUACAAAUCUCCAUGACUUCAUUGCAUUAUACGUUAGCUUCUAAAUAACUUUAGGAAAUAACUGUUCAAAUACACUUUAUACUGCAACAUAUGAAUCUGAUCCAUAAUUAUACAUGAAAGGUAACUUUUCAAAUUACUUAUCUAUUUUUUUUCAAAUUAAUUAAGGAAAUCAAUGUAUUGAUUUUGAAAGAAUACAUUUUACCUGCAUUUGAAUCUAGUCCAUAUUAUUGAACCACACAAAUAACCUUUCAGAUUCUUAGCCUUUUGAGAGUAACUAAGAAAAUUAAUGCAUUGUUUUUUCAAAGAAUGAAUUGUAUUAAUUUAACAGCUUCUCACUUUUAGUAUUUAGUAUAAUAUAAUAUGGCUAGCUACUUAAUAUUUAAUUAAUUAAAUAUUUUAUAAUAUUAUGAUUGAAUGUAGGGGUAAAAGGAUAAUCCAACUUUGCACUUAGGAGUUUCCCAUAUGAUGAUGAUAUAUACAUUAUUUUAUCAAUCAUAACUUUUCAAAUUCUUCCGUUAUGAGAAUUAUGAUUAUGAUUAAAAGCAAUAUCAAUGUACUCAUUUAUCAAGAAAGUAAUAAUUUAAUUAUUAAAGGGCUUAAGGACUUAAAUUCUACCAUUAUGUAAUUAAAAUCUUUAUAUUUAAUUAAAUAAUUAAUCAAAUUUUAAUUUAGUAAAAGGGCAAAAUGGUAAUUCAACCUUUUACUUUAGAGCUUCCCACUUAUAAUAUAACUAGAUUUUGUUGCCCGUGCUAUGCACGGGCCCAAUAACAUAAAUGGUAUGUUUUGGGGCUAAUAACGAAGUUUUUGAAGCGAUUGUUUGCGUGGAUAAAGGAAUAAGUUUUUUUUAUCACAAACCUGUACUUUCUUUGACGCUAUUCAAGGCACAAUAAGACUACCCACAUACAAUAUUUUUGAACAAUUUUAUGUUGUCAAUUAUCACGAUUUAAUUUUAAGAAUCAGUCAAUUUUUUUUUCUGUUUUUUUAAUAAAUAUUUUAAGUUGUCAAUUAUCACGAUUUGUCCCAUUUUUUAUGUGGCACCCUUUGACUUGGCAUGGUGUUUAUGAAAAAAAGAAGACUUUUUAAAACUUGUGGUCUAAGAUAAUCCUCAGAGAUUUGUGUGGCUGGAAAUCAUUUCAUUAAGGAUAAAAGAGAAAUUUUAAAGUUAAUUUGUUUUCAAUUAUAGUAAGGUGACAUUCUUUUUGGGACGGACUGGAAAGGAAAGGGUGCCACAUAAAAUGGGAUGGAGGGAGUAUUAGAGCCGGUUUGGAUAGACUUUUGGGAGUGUUUGGCAAAUUUAAAUAACUUAAAAUAAGUUUAAAAUGACUUAAAAUAAGUUAAAAGUCAAAAGUAGGACUCUCCCUACUUUUUAUUCUUUGACUUAAAAGUCCUUUAAGUUUUACCUUCAAAAAGUUGUUUCUUAAAAGCUGCUUCUUAAGCCAAUCCAAAUGGGCUUUAAGUGUAGUGUUUAUACUAAAAUUAGAAAAUACAUGAUAGUAUUUGUCUCUCAACUGUUAUGGGUCUUAAAAUAUUUCUUCCUUGUGUCGCAGGGUGAAAAGUUAAGGCGGAGAAAUGACUGGUUUCAUUGGCUGAUACCACCAUCAGUACAGAAUUCAACCAUGUCAAGUCCGCGAUCUCCUCAAAUGUCUGGUCCUGAUUUGCUUGCAGAAAAUCUCCAACGUGUUGUAUUUGAUUAUAACACUACAGGACAUGGAAAUGCUGAAGCACAUCUUAGUAGAUCAUCAUCUACUGAAUUAAGUACUCCAUUUACGCAGUUUGGCAAUGAGAUGGCUGAACAGGCUGAUGCUCAGAAUUCACAGCUAAUGCCACUUGGAAAUCCAAGUUAAAGAGUUAACUCUUCUGGAGUGAAGAGUGAAGUCCAGAGGUUGGUAGCUGUUGUGCUUCUUCAAGCAAUCAAUGAGUUUUAGUUUAUACUGUUGGUGGUGGUUCUGACAUCUCAUGAAGGAACUAGGCAGGGAAUAAAAGGAUAACAAACAUAAUUGGCAAUAGAAUUAUAAUGUCUUUAAGCAUUCUUGUAGCUUGAUUUUGUUGGGAUGUAUAUUUUGUUUUGUUGGGGACAAGUAUUUUCUUUUCCUUUAUGUUAUGUUCCUUUGUCGUGGUUAUUUAUUAUACAGGUCUGGGCAAUUUUGGUUCUACUUCCCAUGCAGCCCCCCAGCUUUAUCUUCUUAAGCCAAAAUCCUUGGGGCAGGCUUACUGAAAGGUAUGAAGUUGCUGGCUUCUGAUCUUUUGUCAGAAUGGUCCUGUGAAGACUUUUGUGCUGGCCCUGGGCACUUGGUUGUCUUGUUAUUGUCUUUCUGUUUGUUUCAAAUCUAGCACCAUUGACUCUUUUAUAUUUACUAGUUAUAGGGAACGUGUGUUGCACGUUUGUCUACUACUAUUUUAUAAAAUUUACACAAACAUAAUUUUAUGUCGAUAGUUAUUUAUUGCAUAAUUUAUUUUUAUAGAUAUGCCAAAACUUGUAUUGAUUAAUAUGUAUAUGUAUAAAGUUUACAUUUUCAUCCAAAAGAAAAAAAUAAAGAUUCGAAAUAUAGUCGUCUAGACUAAGAUAUAUUCUAGUAAAUAUAUAGAUGUUUUCUCUAUACAGACACAACCAUUUAGGUUAAUAUUAUAAUUUUAUUUUUACUUAUUUGUUUGACAGCUAAGAAAUACUCAAAUAUGUAAAAUCAAUUAAGAUUAUAUAACACCUAAUCUAAUAAGAUGAAUACUAGCUUUAAAUUUAAGAAUAAAAUAUACAACAUUAUGAAGUAUUAUCUUCUAUAAAUAUUAUAUAAUAAUAAGAGUACAUCAUCAUUUUUAUUUUUUUAUUUUUAUCUUACUGUCUACUUUCAUUUUCAUUUUCCUCUCUUACUACGUACAAAAAUAUAAAUACUUCCCACUUUGUGCCUACUCAUUCAGAUUCUUCAAUUUCCACGUUUAUGAAAAAUUAACCCAAAAUCAUCUUUUAAACUAAAACUCCUAGUAUUUUAAUUUUUAAUAUAAAUUUAAAAUGCUCCAAUACAAAAAGGGAAAUGACAUAAGAAGAAAAUUAUAUUGACACAAGAGAUCACGUAGCUUUAGAUCAAAAUUAUUGUAGAACUCACGAUCCUUAUUUUUUUUCUUCUUAUUUCACCCCAUGAUAAGCUUUAACUGAAAUUACAAAAUGAUCUUGUAUUGUUAAUGCCUUGGUAUGCCACAUCUUUACAUUAUACUUAUUUCUAUAAAAUUCAGACUAUGAAGAAUUUGGACUUGGGAUUGAAAAUGUGAGAUGGUGAAUGUAUAUGAUGUGUCUGUUUGUACAUAGUAUUUUCAAAAUUUAAGAAAAGAGUCAUUUUACUUUUUUAUGAAGCUAUAACUAAGAAUUUUUGAAGAUUUCGAUAUUGGCAUGUGUAAUUGAAGAACAAAAAAGUGUCUAAUGAUGUAACGGAAGAAAAAUAAGAGACUGUUAAUAAUUUAGCGACUUAACUUUUCUUUUCAAUACCUUAAAUGUAUUAAAAAGAAAUUAAAUAGAAGAAAAUGCCACUUAACUUUUAUAGAGUCCUUUUGUAAUCCAACUUUCAACUAUAAGGUUAUCGUAUUACACUUGCAAUACACUAAUGUUUGACAGACGUCCCUCAAAAUUUGGCUCGUCGUUUAUUGUCUGACAUGACCAUUUAUGAUGAGAAACAACAACAUCUUUCUUCUUACAUUCAUGAAUCCUCAUAUGAAGUUCAGCCGCAACAAUCAAUAAAUGAACACCUUGAAUUGAUAUCAAAAUGAACAGCUUAAUAUAUAUAUAUAUAUAUAUAUAUUAUAGAGAGAGAGGGGGGGUGGAGCUACAUACAAAUUUAGCAUCAUAUAUAAUUGCUUAUUUCUAAGGUAUAGAAUGAAUAAUGUCAAAUACUCGGUGCAGAUAAAGUUAUGCCUUUCAAUAUUAUGAAUUACCAAAUAUAAGGAAAGAAUAUUAAUCAUAAAAUACCAUACAUAAAAAAAUAAACUAUCACAAUUAUAUUGAUGUAGAAUAAACACAAACUUACUUUCUUGAAGCUUGUUAUAAGAUUAUAGGAACUCACUCUCAUAUUCGAUCUCAGUUAUACAUCCUUGACUAAAUUUUUAUUGCUGCAACAAAAAAAGUCCAAAAAGUUUAACAAUCAAAUACUGUUUAAAUAACUAUCAAAGGAAAAUCAACUACAAAAAAAUAAUAUAAUAUUUUCUAAUACAAUUGAGAAUCUAAUAAUUAGAAAAUUAAAAAACACAUGAACCAUAGAAAAUGUUGAUAGGUCUGGAAUAUAUAUAGUAAGAGGAUGCAUAUUUUUUUGACUUAUGAAAUUCUUCUUUAAUAGACAAAUAAAUAAAGAAAAGAUCAAUUGAAUAGAUAAGAUGAAUAUGAACAUUUCAAAUUUUAUUUUUCCAACCUUUGAGAUUCUCAUCAAACGUAAUUAAUUGGUUAAUAUGUGGUCACUUCCCAUUUAAUUGAUUAUUGUCAUUUAUUAGAUGGUAAAUUUAUUAUUUGGUACAAAAAUAUCAUAGAAUCAGUAUUUAAAUUAGGGGUAGUAACGUUGAUUAAUUUUAAUGUAGAUUUUUGUACUUAUUUUAUUUUAAACUUAUGUUUUCCUACUUUUAAAUAACUUACAAUUCAAAAAAUAAUUAAAAUAUUAUUAUUUAAUUAAUUAGAUGUUUAAUUUAGUCUAGGGGUAAAAUGGUAAUUCAACUUUUCAUCUUUGGAGCUUCCACUUAUAAUAAUAUAUAAAAUAUGUGUGUGUGAUUUGUCAUAUUUACCUUUAUAUUCUUAAAAAAUCAUAUUUAUCCGUAGUCCCAUACAAUGUUAAAUCUCUAUGUUUUCAACAUAUUUGUCAUUUUCACCAACUUUAGAGUCAUAUCUUAUACUCUGAAAAAUCAUAUUUCAUCCCACGUUAAAGAUAGGAAAAGAGAGAAAAAUUUAUAAUUUAUCUAUGGAUAUGAUAACAUAUUGUUAUUAUUAUAACAUUACUAACUUGUUUUGAAAUAUUCAACAUCUAAAUUAUGAUUAGAAUCUUGAUAUAAUGUUAGCCAUUGAUUUUCCUUUGUCAUGUGUCUUCGAAACUUGAGCAAAAUAGGGAGAAGAGAAAUGAAUUAAGUAGUAAGCAGAAGGAAUAACGUGCUGACCUGAUUCUUUAUUCAUGGGUCAAGAACGUGAAAUUUUUUAUUAUAUGAAUCGGGGAGGAUUUGAUCUUGGAUGUCUACUCUGAUACCAUGUUGAAAUAUGUGAUUAUAUCAUCUAAAAGUUUAAUCCGCACAUUUUUAUUAUUUAAUUGUAUUCUUUCUGUUAGCAACAUGCAUUGUAAUAUCACUUAAGUUUCUCACUAGGCGUUUGGAUCUAAAUUCAGUGAUAUCUUCUUUUUUAAAAAUAUACUAUUUGACAUUAAAGUUGAAAAAUGAUUGGAUUUGGAGUUUGAAGAUGCAUUUCAAGAACAAUGUUUCGACAAGUACAACAACUUAUAUUAAUUUCAUGAUGAACAGCGCUAGGAGAAGAAGUGGUAAAUUACAUUCCUGGGCUUAAACCAAUUCGCGUAAAGGAUCUCCCAUCUUCAUUCAACAGCAAACGCCGGGAGAUGUUGCCCUUGCUUCUCCAAGUUGUAUCACAAUUAGCCAAUAAAGCACAAUAUGCCUUGUUCACCACCAUUGGAACAUUGGAAUCUCAAGUAAUUGAGGCUUUACAAGCUGAAUUUCCAGUCCCCAUUUUCACUGUCGGUCCAACAAUCCCUUACUUGGAUACCGAAUUCAACACUAACCAUCCUAGUCCAAACUACAUGUCAUGGCUUGAUGAUCAACCUAAGGACUCUGUUCUAUACAUAUCCCAAGGAAGUUUCAUGUCUGUAUCAAAAGAACAGCUAGAUGAAAUUAUAGCAGGUGUGCACAGCAGUGGUGUCCGAACAUUUUGGGUGGCACGUGAGAAUGCAUCCUUACUUACGGAUGGGAUUGGGAAGAGGGGAAUCGUGGUGUCUUGGUGCGAGCAAUUGAAAGUUUUGUGCCAUCCUAGUGUUGGUGGAUUUUGGUCGCAUUGUGGAUGGAAUUCAACCAAGGAAGGUGCAUUUGCUGGUGUGCCAUUUCUUACGUUCCCUAUUGGCGGUGAUCAAGUUACAAACAGUACACAAAUAGUGGAGGACUGGAAGAUUGGGUGGAGGAUCAAUAAGGAUAGCGAGAAAUUGGUUAAGAGAGAUGAAAUUGCUCUGCUUUUGCAGAGUUUUAUGGACCUUGACAGCAAUGAAGGAAAAGAAAUGAGGAGAAGAGCAAUGGAAAUAAGGAAGACCUGCCAAGAAGCAAUUGAAGGCAGAGCCAUCCAAGGAAAUAUUGACAAGUUCAUUCGGAAUAUUUCUCGAGGCUCAAGGCAAUAAUGUUCGGUUUAUAGAGAAGUUAUGCAGAAAUUAUGUAUGAACUAAACUAUAUAAAAAUUAUUUCUAUAAUAUGCUACACCUGCGAAGAGUAUCUAACAUUUUCUUCGCCCUAAACUGCUAAGCAUGUAAUAUGGCCCAAACUUUUGCGGUACUAGCUACUUUUUGUUGAAUAAAUAAAGUGGCAAGAGGACACAAACAAGCUGCACUUAGAAGUUCCUGCUUGCUGUUAUUCACAGGCAUCCUGCCAAUGUUUCAACAUGCUGCUUUGGUGGUGAAAGAAACGAGUACCAACUACUUGAGUUCAGGAACCAGGAUCCUUACUCAUAACUGAAAGUGGUAAAGAAAAAUAACACAAGUUUUAUUGUGGAAAACCUCCUUACUAGUAAAAACCACGACAUACCAUGGGUAGGAUUUCAUCAACCAGAGUUGAAGACUCUUUCCUCUUUUACCUUCUACUAGUCUCUGGGCACGUGUACCCCAUACGUCAAUAAGUAAAAACUCUUAUAAAGUUAAAUAACUAUUAUUUUAAAAUGUAAUACCAACUUAACCUCAGAUGAAUCCAUCUUACUAUUUUCAUACUUUAAAAACAAGGGUGAAAUUAUAACAUUAUAAUAGUAGAUCGAUCUUGUGCAUAACUUUAAAACAAUGAACCAAACCUUCCAAAUAUAAUUUAUAAAAAAUCACAAAAUGUCGAAUCAAAUGAAUUUGAUUCAUUUAAUAUAAGCUAAUCAAACUUAAUUAUGUAGGACAAUGUAAAAGUCAUACUUGAUAUUUCUAACGUUAUGAAUUCAUCUUCCUCAAAAUUCUUUUCGGUGUUUCUAAAUAAAGUGAAGAUGUCAAACUUGAUAUACACUCUAUUGUUAAUCUCAGAUUAUAGAUAGACUAAUUUGAAAAAAAUAUAUUAAUGAUCAAAAUCUUACUAACAAACAAUAGACGAUGGAAAAAGAGGAGAAAAGUAGGAACUUUACCAUAGGAGUACGUAGAACUACUAGUGGAAGAACCCAAGAUGACAAAUUUGUAUUUGGUAAUGGUAUAUAUUGAUUUAACUGCAACUUCAUAAUCUUUAAUUUAAGAUUAAAAGGGGGAAAACCUUGAUUCAUGUACUUAUUUAAGAACAAUUAUUUAGUUUUAAUUAUUUUACCAAUUACAUAUGACUCUUAAAAUUCUAGAAAUCUUAAUUGACUCUUGUCCUUCUACAUUAUCUUUCUAAUAAAUAACUUACCAUUCAAAAAAUAAUUAAAAUAUUAUUAUUUAAUAUUUAAUUAAUAGAUGUUUAAACUAAUAGAUAAAUAUAAAAAAAUAAACAUAGAAGAAAAAAAACAACAUACCCAUCCUUCUUAAAACUUUAAUCAUAACAUUAUAUAAAUGAAAAAAUAAAUACAAAAUCGGUACAUAAUUUUCCAAGUUUUUGUUGAUACCUUGUCUCAUAUCCAAUCAAAAUUCAAAAGUCUUCUCCAUCGAAUCAAACUAAAGCAUGAAUCAAAUAGAAAAAUCAUUUUAUUUUCGUAAAGUGAUAUAUAAUCAGACUAAGAUAGAUAUAUCAUAUACUUUAGAUGUUGAUGGCUUCACUACUUUAACUAUAAAAUGAAAAGGAUAAUUUUGAAUGUAAAUUUUUUUUUUUGGUAACUAUCUUUUAUAUUAAUUACCAGUAGCAAAUCAUUACAAAUCAAGCAGCUAUCACAGCAUGCUUAUUUCUCAUAAUUGCCUCUCUUUCGACUAAAGCUCUACCUUACCUAUAACUAGAAUGUAUACUCAUCUAGAAUACUAGGCUGGGAUCUAAUAAUAGAAACGUAAGCUAUCUCUUUGGCCACACUUUCUACUGUUCUGCUCUUCUGCACAAAGAUUCUAUUAUUUCUCUCAAUCCAUAUUCCACCAUAAUGAUCUUGAAGAUGUGAGCUGAAAUAGUCUUCCCUUUUGCAUGUUGUAUACUCCAAUGCAUAAAUUGCUCCCAGUUAGUAGGCAGCAUGUCAAGCUGGUGCACCAAUUUUAGCAAUCUGCUCCAUAAUUAACCUGAUGGCAAAGUGACAAUGAAUAACCAAAUGCUCUAUGGUUUCCUCCUCGUUUUGGCACAUAACACACUUCUUUGAUACUACCAUCCCCCACUUUGUUAACCUGUCUGUAGUUGGCAACUUCUUAUGAAGCAUGAGCCACAUGAUGAAAUAAGCUUUUAAUUUGAUCUCGCAGCAUUCUUGAACAUAAGGCAUUUCCAGUCAAUCCUCUGUUGUUCCCCUAUCAAAGACAAAUAAAUUUUGGAUGUAAGUUUCAUGAAACAAUAAAGAUGAAAUUAUAUAGAUAAAAAUAGAGGAAUAUCAAAAAGAUAUCUAAAAGUUUUAAAUUAAAUAUUGGAAGGUUUCAAAGGGCCAAAAUAGAUAAAAGAGAACAACUUUAAGAUUAUUAAAAAAAAAAAGGAAAAAUUACUGGAAUAUUCAAUUUAAGACUUUAAUUUAUAUAAUGUUAAUUUACUCUUUUUAUUUACAACAUUAUCAUUUUAAUUACAAACCUGACAACUUAAUAAAUAUACAUAUCUUUAUACGAUUUUUUUACCUAGUUUUUAGCUUAGUGGGCUGAUUUUAUCUGUUUCAUAAUUUAUUAUUUUUACUUUUUUGAUUUUCAAUCACAACUAUAAUUGGUUACAUUAAUUUUGCCUUUUUUUUUCUCUUUCUUACUUAAUACAAUUACACUUCUAAAUUUAUUUUUUCUUUCUCUUCAAUUACGUUUUUUUUUUACUUUUAGAAUAAUAUAAUGAUAAAAAAUAUAUAUAUAUGAUAUAGAAUGGUAUAAACUUCUUGUUUUUCUUUAUAUUAUUUAAGUGCAAAAUUGGUAUAUAUAUGGUGGUAAAAUUAUGAAAUAGAAUAGUAUAAACAUGUUGUUUUUCUUGGUAUAAGUUAUCUGUAGAAUAAUAUAGUGGAAAUUAGGAUAUGGAAUGGCAUAAACAUGUUUUUUUGAAUAUAAAUUUUUUAAUAUUGUAUAUAUUAUGGUGACAAUUUGGUGUACAUUACAAUUUUUGACAUACCGUAUUUAUUUUGGAAUUCUCAAUGACAAUUAUAGUUGAAUAUGAUUUUUUUACUUAAAGAUCCUAUUUUUUUAGGAUGCAGGUUUCUUUCUCUCAUUUUUUUGGUUGAUUUUUUCAAUUCUAGUGCUGAUUUUUUUGGGAGAAUUUAUUGCCUAAUUAAUAGGAUUUUUACCAUUUAACACAUUCCUUAUUUGAUACAAUUAAUUACUCUUGAAUUUGUUCUUCUCUCUCUCCAUUUUCGUUUCAAUUCUUUUAUAAAAAAUACCAAUUUAAGUUCCAUUAUAUAAGUACCAAUAUAUGCAAAGUAAUAAAAAAAAAAACAAUUUGCAUACCCUAAUAAUAACCAUUUGCAUACCACAAUAAUUAUUUAUGCAUACUAAUUUGUAUAUCAAUAAUAGAAUUCUUUUAGGUAAUAUUGUAAAAAAGGAAAAUAUGAAAUCUUAUUAUGGUGUGAAUUGAUGUACAGUAUGAUUUCAAUAUAUAUAUUUCUAUUUGUAAAUACAAUUUUACUAUUAUAUAAUUUGAUUCUUUAAAACGGUAUACAUUGUGGUAUAGAACUUGAAAUUACACUAAAACUAUAUGACACUAUUUACGAAUAACAUUAAAAAUUUAUAAUAUAAAAAAUGUACCAUAUAAUAAUACUAACAUUUGUACUAUAUAAUAUACCAACAUUAUUGAAUUCUACCCCAUAUCAAAAUUGUACCAUAUAAUAUACCAACAAUUAUUGAAUUCUACCCCAUACAAUAUACCAAUUAGUUGAUAUUUCGUGCCAUUUUUUUUUCAAAUGACAUUUAAUACCACAAGGAAAAUCAACAUAAACAAUAGAACUAAUUACAUCAUAUGAUUAAAUAUGAUUCUGAAAAAAAUGUUUAAUAAACAACCAAUAAAAUUCAAAUCCGCUAAUAACAUUCAAUUAGAUUAUGAAAAAAAAGUGUUAUAAAAAAGAAUUAACUCAACAAUGCUAAUCCUCAUAUGGAUAUUUGGUACAAGUUUUGGUAUUUGAUUUUUUUUUAAAUGGUAUUUGCGUCACAUAUCACUUCUUCAAUCUUGAAAUCCACAUACCUUCCUGCAAUAUAUUUUUAAAAAAAAUUAAAGAACCUACUAAACAACUGUUAUAACAAUCAAAUUUGAAAUACACAAUCAUAUUUUUUUUACAUCACCAAAAAAAGUUAUAUACGAAAUGGUGUAUAAUAUGGUUAAAAAUUGGUGUCCACUUCAUUAUUCUUAUAAUGAAAUUUGAACACCAACUUAUAACAAACUAUAUAUAUAACAUUGAUUUAUUAAGAUUGACAAAGUUGAACAUGAUUAUAUGUUACAAUCCAACGGUGCAUAAUACCAUGAUUAUAUGAUUAAGGUGUACAUUAUGAUGACAAUUUGGUGUACAUUUCAAUCUAAUAUAUAAUGUACGAUAUACACCAAACAUUUACACCACAAACUAACCAAAAGUAACUAAUUUAUUUAUAUAAUAAAUUUAAUUAAACAAUCAACUACAUGCAUAAUACCAUCAUAUAAUAUCUAUUUUUAAAAAUUUACACAUUAAUUAUAGUGUACUUGAAUGGUGUACCGUAUGUGUAUAAUUUAAUAUAAUAAAUAAUACAUAUUUUAAACCAAUAUUACACCAUGAUCUUACCAAGAAUUUUAACAAAUUAUUUUGGAUAACCAAAUUAAUUAAAAAGUGUGUACAUUACUAUUUAACAUUGAUUUCCAUAUUAGUAUUGUCAUUAAACAGUGGUAAAUUUAUAGAAUUCGAGUAAUAUUAGGUGUUAAUCUUAAUUUUGAUUAUAUUUGCAAUCCUACAAUUCAUAAUACCAUAAUCUACAAACUAUACGAGAUGUUUGUUUAAACAAUUAUACAAACAGCAUUAGUGCCAUGAAUGAUUCAUCAAAAUCAAUUUACAAAUAAUAAAAUUUUCAUGAUUAACCACAACAAAAAAAGCCUUAAAAGAGAUUUUUCAGCCACUGAAACAUUUGUUUUUUUUUUUGAAAAAUCAAACUCUAUAAUCUUACAAAAAUAAAUCAGAAGUAAUUUAAAAAUAUGAUACAUACCGGUGAUAUCUCAUAUUUGUCGUGCUGAAUUAAAACGGACACGUUCUUGCUUUCAACCAUUGAAACGACCUUAAACAGGAGAUAAAGACUUUGUAUUGGUUACAAUACGUUGUUUUGAGAUAUGAGAGAAAUAUUAAGUAAUGAAUAUCUAUGGAAGGUAACUGAAUUGGAGUAAAUUAAGGAAUUAAUAUCUUAUUUAAUAUUGAAUGAUGCAUUGCUUCUUCUUUUUUUUACCCUUUUUUUUUAAUUUAUUUUUAUUUUGUUUUAUUUUGUAAAGAUUCUAUUGCUAUGUUGGUGUAAAGUCAAACUAUUGUUAUAUAGAGGUUAUUUAGGUCCUUAAAUUGUAUAUUUAAGUUUUUUAUUUCAACUUUCAACUUUUUUUUGUUCCCACUUUUAGUAAUAUAUGAUGACUAGUUUAUGGGGACGUGCACCGCACGUGUAUUCCAUGUGAAUUUUUAUGAAUUUGUUAGAACAAAAAAAAAUCUAUGAAAAUAUACAUGGAAUGAAUAAUUACAUACCAAUUUGAGCCCACAUAAAAAAUACAAAUUAAAGAAGUUUAAUAGGGAAGGAAAAAAAUAGAUACGAAAAAUAUAAUAUACACAUUCUUCUUAGGAUUGUAAUCAUAACAAUAUUGAUGGAAAAAAAAUAAUAUAGAAUCAGUACAGAAUUUUUCAAGUUCUUGUCGACUCCUUCUCCCUUAUAGCCUUCUUCAUCGAGUCAAAAUAAAGCAUGAAUCAAAUAGUACACUAAUGAUGUAAACACUUCAUUACUCUAACUAUAAAAUGAAAAUGAUAACCUUGGGUGAUCACAUGAACCAAAAAAUCGGUAAUUGGUAAUUAUUAAAGUUCUUAAAAAUAAAAUAAAAUUUGAAUCUGAACGAUUUGCCACUGUUAAUCUAUGAUAAAGAACCGAAAAUAAAAAGAAAAAAGAGUCGGUGGGGGGCUGAUUCUUAUGGGUCGCAGGGAAAGGUUUGGUGGAUGGGGGAAAUGUGCAGAGUACAAAAUUUUAUUUUAUUUUUUAUUAUUUAAAAUAUAUUUUUUCCCUAUAUUGAAUUAUAUUUUUUAAUAAUUUUUUGGAUCCACAGACACAUGUCAUAACUUUAUUCGUCAUAGUGUCAUGUCAUAGCGAGUAUAUCUCACAGACUUAAUAUUUUAGGCUGAUUGUCCAAAAAAUGUCAAAUAUGUGUCAAUCUAAGUACUAGAGGUGUUCAAUAGAUACAAGAUUUAGUUAAGGAGUUCAAGUAAAAUAUGCGAAUAACUUUAAGAGGUUGUGUAUGACUUAAGCCGGUUAUUAUUUGUCAAUAAUGUAGUACUUAUGAUGUCGGCAUUGAAGCACAAUAAUUGUUGCCAUUUAGCAGCUCAAUUCACCUCCUUUAUCACCAUUGAAUCUAUAUCUGCCAUUGUUGAUUUAGAAGAUUAGAAAAAAGAAAGAAAAGGAGAGUAGUGUUCUGAUAGAUAGUAGGGAAGAAUUUGGGUGGGUUUGGUAAAAUUGGUAAUUAUUAAAGUUUUUUUAAAAAAAAAAAGAAAAUUUGAAUCUGAACGAUUUGUCAUUGUUAAUUUAUGAUAAUGAACCGAAAACAAAAAGAAAAAAGAGCCGGUGGGGGGCUGAUUCUUAUGGGUUGCAGGGAAAGGUUUGGUGGGUGGGCGAAAUGUGCAGAGUACAAAAUUUUAUUUUAUUUUAUUGAAUUAUAUUUUUUAAUAAUUUUUUUUGGAUCCACUGACACAUAUCAUAACUUAAGCAGGUUAUUAUUUGUCAAUGAUAUCGGCAUUGAAGCACAAUAAUUGUUGCCAUUUAGCAACUCAAUUUUAUCUGUCCGAAAACUCUAGUGGAAACUGCCCAAGUAUAUCUGUAAAUGGAACUUAUCAAGGUUGAUGAAGCCCCAUUGGGUUGCCACAUAUUGGCGAUUCCUUAUCCAGGGAGAGGCUGUUGGCAACAUGAUCAGACGUGGUUUAGUAGUUAGGUUGUUGCAUUUGUUUAGGAGUCAUUAAGUUGUUUCCUAGUCUUUAGGUUAUAGGAGUAGUGGAGUCAGUUUUUUAUAUUCAGAAUUAUUAGGAGAGUAAACGUGUUUUUUUAUCUAUAAUGUUUUCUAUUUAAGGACUCUUGUAACUGAGUAUUAAUGGAAUACAAACAGAGAAAAUUUUCACACUUGCGAGUCUUUUCUUUUCAUCUUUGCUGCAGUUUAUUUUCUAUCAUUUGGUAUCCGAGCCAGAAAGUUUUUUUCUUCUUUUUUGAAGUACUAUUGCAGCAACAAAAGAUGGCUUCUGAAAAUUUUGUCCAGGCCGCUAUUCCGCGCUUCGAUGGUCAUUACGACCAUUGGAGCAUGUUGAUGGAGAACUUCCUUAGGUCCAAAGAGUUUUGGCCAGUUGUCAGUAUUGGAGUGAAAGAGCCAGCAACUGGUACUGCCUUGUCGGAAACACAAAAGGCAGAGUUGGAUAGUCUAAGAUUGAAGGAUCUCAAAGCGAAGAAUUACCUUUUUCAGGCUAUUGAUCGCUCAAUACUGGAAACCAUUCUUUGCAAGGAUACUUCCAAACAAAUAUGGGAAUCCAUGAAGAAGAAGUAUCAAGGAACAGCGAAGGCAAAACGAGUGAAGCUUCAAGCACUCCGUGGUGAGUUCGAGACUCUACGUAUGCAAGGUGGUGAGUCGGUAACAGAUUAUUUCUCUAGGACGUUGGCUAUCGCAAACAAAAUGCGAAUUCAUGGUGAAAAACUGGAGGAUGUUACCAUUAUUGAGAAAAUACUUCGCUCAAUGACAGCAAAGUUCAAUUAUAUUGUUUGCUCCAUUGAAGAAUCCAAAGAUAUCGAUACUUUUUCUCUUGAUGAGUUGCAGGGUUCUUUGUUGGUUCAUGAACAGAAAAUAAACCAACAGGACAAGGAUGAAGUAGCAUUGAAGGCAGCAAUGUCUUCGAAAGGUACAAAUCAGGAGAAGGUCAAAUGGAAAGGAAAUAAUCGGCACCAGAAGAAAGAGAAGAGCAGCACUGCAGAUUCCCAGGAAAAAAAAAAGGAGUGACAAGUCUCAAAUUGAAUGCUAUCGAUGCCAUCGAUUUGGACACUAUCGAUCUGAGUGUCGCACCAAUUUAAAUAGGAAGAGUGGUGGCAGAUCUAACUUUGCAGAAAUGAAGGAGAUGUGGAAACAAAGGGGGAAGAAGAGGAGAUUUCACUUUUAAUGGCAUACACUGCCAAAGAGAAAGCUUCAAAUGAUGUAUGGUAUCUCGAUACAGGCUGUAGUAAUCACAUGCGUGGGGAGAAAGAAGCAUUCUCAGAGCUGGAUGAAACUUUCCGAGAUACUGUCGAGAUUUGGAGAUAAUUCAGUGGUCUCUGCCAUGGGAAAAGGAAAGGUACAAGUCAACUCCAUUCAUACCAUUAGUGAUGUGUUUUAUGUCCCUGCGCUGAAGACAAAUCUACUAAGUGCUGGGCAACUUUAAGAAAAGGGAUAUAAACUUAAUAUCAAAGGUGGAGUUUGUAAGAUACGAGAUUCUCAUUUGGGGUUAAUCGCACAGAUUAACAUGUCAUCAAAUCGCUUGUUCCCUUUAUAUCUUCACAACUCCACAAAAUCUUGUCUCUCUGCAAAAGUUAAAGGGGAUUCCUGGAAGUGGUAUUUUCGCUAUGGUCAUUUAAAUUUUGGAAGCUUGAAGUUUCUAAAACAAAAACAAUUGGUGUUGGGUCUUCCAGAGCUUGAAUCUCCCAAUGAAGUAUGUGAAGAGUGUGUUGUUAGCACGCAACACCGUGAACCAUUUCCAAAACGCAAUUCUUGGAGGGCAAAGAAGGUUCUGGAGUUGGUUCACUCAGAUAUUUGUGGUCCGAUAAGUCCUACAUCUAAUGGAGGUAAACGCUAUUUCAUUAGCUUUAUUGAUGAUUAUAGCAGAAAUACUUGGGUUUUUUUCUUAAGAGAAAAAUCUGAAGCAUUUGAAACUUUUAAGCAGUUUAGAGUGCUUGUUGAAAAUGAAGUAGGUUGUCAAAUUAAGUGUUUGCGGACUGAUCGAGGUGGUGAAUAUAACUCACUAGAAUUUGUAGAAUUUUGUGAGAAACAUGGAAUUAAAAGGCACCUUACCGCAGCCUACACACCUCAACAGAAUGGUCUGUGUGAAAGAAAAAAUCGCACAAUUCUAGAUAUGGUGCGUAGUCUUUUGAAGAGAAGUCACUUACCAAGAGACUUUUGGGCAGAAGCAGUUCGUUGGAGCGUUCAUAUAUUGAAUAGAUGUCCUACCAACUCUAUUCAAAGUAUGACACCUCAUGAAGCUUGGAGUAGGCGUAAACCAAAUGUUGAGUACUUUCGGAUUUUUGGAUGUAUAGCAUAUGCACAUAUUCCAGAUGCAGCAAGGAAGAAGUUGGACGAUAAAGGUCAGAAGUGCAUUUUCCUUGGUAUUAGUGACAAAUCAAAAGCUUAUCGCUUGUUCAAUCCUAUUACUAAGAAAAUAGUUGUUAGCCGAGAUGUUAUUUUUAAUGAAGAAGCAAUCUGGAAUUGGGGUGAUAACAAUUCGUUUCAACAUAUUCCAGUUUCUGUUGAAGAAGAAGAGGAACCAGAACGACCUUUGGAGAUCAGUUCACAACCAAGUCCAAUUGUACAGGAUGCUGAAAGUGUUGAACACGAAUCAGAUGGUUCUCAGCUCAACAAUGAACGUCCACAACGUAUUAGAGGGGCACCAAGAUGGUUGGAAAAUUAUGAGGUAUAUGGGACUAGGAAAUCUGGAAAUACAGUAAGUCAUUUUUCUUAUUUUUAGAUUGUGAUCCUAUAUCUUUUGCUGAUGCUGUUAAGACCUGAAGUGGCAGCAAGCCAUGGAUGAGGAGAUUAGAUCAAUUGAAAAAAUGAUACUUGGGAGUUGACAAAUCUUCCAGAAAAUCAGAAAACCAUUGGUGUCAAAAUGGGUUUACAAAACAAAGUUGAAGGAAAACGGAGAGGUCGACAAGUUCAAAGCUCGCUUAGUAGCAAAAGGCUACAAGCAAGAAUAUGGUGUUGACUAUGUAGAAGUGUUUGCUCCCGUUGCUCGUUUAGAUACCAUCAGAUUGGUGAUUGCUUUGGCUGCUCAAAAUGCUUGGAAAAUCUAUCAGCUGGACGUGAAAUCUGCCUUCCUACAUGGUGAACUUCAAGAAAAGGUAUCUAUCGAACAACCUCCUGGCUAUGUGAAAUUUGGUGGUGAGAAUAAAGUGCUUAGACUGAAAAAGGCUCUUUAUGGACUAAAACAAGCUCCAAGAGCUUGGUAUAGUCGCAUAGAUACUUAUUUUUCAAAGGAGGGAUUUCGAAAGUGUCCAUAUGAACAUACUCUCUAUAUAAAAAGGAAAGGUGCAGGGGUCUUAAUGGUGUGUUUAUAUGUGGAUGACUUAAUUUAUACCGGAAGUGAUGAGUCUAUGAUUGAGAACUUCAAGAAGUCCAUGAUGGUUGAGUUUGACAUGUCCGAUUUGGGUAUUAUGCAUUAUUUUCUUGGUUUAGAAGUGAAUCAAUCUGCUGAUGGUAUUUUGUUCUCAAAAGAAUAUGUGCAAGAUAUUCUGGACAGAUUCCAGAUGAAAAAUAGCAACACUGUGAGCACACCAAUGGAGAAGGGUCUGAAGCUCGUCAAAGAACCUGAAGGGAGAAAAGUGGACAGCACUUUAUACAAGCAAAUCAUUGGAAGCUUGAUGUACUUGACGGCAACAGGCCUGAUGUUAUGCACGCUGUAAGUCUCAUUAGUAGAUUCAUGGAGAGUCCAAAAGAAAUGCAUCUACAAGCUGCCAAGAGGAUCCUGCGGUACUUGAAUGGCACCAGUGACCUUGGAAUUCUUUAUCAGAUGAGAGCAGCUGGAGAUUUAGUUGGUUACACUGAUAGUGACUAUGCUGGAAAUCUUGAAGACAGGAAAAGCACAUCAGGAUUAUGUUUUUAUGUUGGGCUCUGGAGUUAUUUCUUGGUCUUCAAAGAAGCAACCUAUUGUUACUUUGUCGACUACCGAGGCAGAGUAUGUAGCUGCAACAUCGUGUGCUUGUCAAGCAGUAUGGCUGAGGAAUAUUCUUGAAGAACUUCAUUUUAAGCAGGAAAGACCAACUCCAAUCUAUUGUGACAAUACUUCGGCGAUUAAUCUUUCAAAGAAUCCAGUUGAACAUGGACGAAGUAAGCAUAUAGAUGUGAAGUAUCACUUCUUGCGUGAUCUGACUAAGGAUGCAAACAUUAGUCUUAUUUAUUGUAGGAGUGAAGAGCAGGUUGCAGACAUGUUCACAAAGCCCCUGAAACCAGUGUCCUUUCUAAAGCUACGCGAUCAACUUGGUGUUUGCAAAUUAAACUGAAAGAUGUUUCAGUUUAAGGGAGGGAAUGUUGGCAACAUGAUCAGACGUGGUUUAGUAGUUAGGUUGUUGCAUUUGUUUAGGAGUCAUUAAGUUGUUUCCUAGUCUUUAGGUUAUAGGAGUAGUGGAGUCAGUUUUUUAUAUUCAGAAUUAUUAGGAGAGUAAACGUGUUUUUUUAUUUAUAAUGUUUUCUAUUUAAGGACUCUUGUAACUGAGUAUUAAUGGAAUACAAACAGAGAAAAUUUUCACACUUGCGAGUCUUUUCUUUUCAUCUUUGCUGCAGUUUAUUUUCUUUCAGAGGCCACAUUAAUCCAUUGAUGAAUUUGUGCAAGCUCAUAGCUGCAACGUCCACACCAGAUCUUCUACUACAAAUCUCUUUUAUUGUAACACAAGAGUGGUUCAGCAUUUUGAAAUCAGAGCCAAAACCAGAUAAUAUCCAAUUUCGAACAAUUCCAAAUGUAAUUCCCUCAGAAAAAGAUCGAAGCAAAGAUUUGCCGGGCUUCAUGGAAGCUGUAUUUACAAAGAUGGAAGCUGACGGGUUUCCAAAGCCUAAUGUGAUUUUAGCUGAUUCGUUCUUGCCGUGGGCCGUCAGUAUUGGGGAGCGGAGGAAUAUUCCGGUGGCUUCAUUUUGGACCCCUUCUGCCACCGUUUUCUCCAUCCAUUAUCACUAUCAACUACUCAAGGAUAAUGGACAUUAUGAAGCCAAUUUAGCAGGUACCUAACUUGUUUUUUCCUUUUUCCUUGUUAGAUUAAGAUGCAUGUCAUGUAAUUGUAACCUUACUUGUUUGAAUUUUGAAUUUAUGAAUUUUUUUUUUUUUUUUUUGAAAGAAUAGCUUAAUAAGUUUUGAAUAAAUUAUUUAUACGUAUUUUAAAAAAAAAAUUAAGCAUACAUACAGAUACAGAUAUCAGAUAUGAAUUAAAUCACAAGCAUAAUUGUAACUCCGACCUUGCUUCCAAAGUUCACAUUGUAUCACAUAAAUUUGGCAGUUUCAUUUUAUCUUAAAAGAAAAAACUUGAAAUUUACGAAAUGGUUUUCUAGAUUGUUAUCAAAGUAAAAUCUCCUUCCCUCUAAACUGAUUGGCUUCAAAUUUCGAAUUUUCUUCUAGCUUUUACCAACAUUUAGAAAAAAAUUUAAGGGUUGAUACUUUGACAAGUUGUCGGAAAUUCUUUCCAAAUUACUGUAAUUAGUAGGAGUACAGUAAUUACCUCGCUUAAAUUUGGUGAAAUUAAGUUUUUGUAGAUAUGUAUUCACCCGCAUUUGUCUACCUAACUAAUUACAAAGUUGGAAAUAGGAAUGUAACAUAAGUUGAGUUUCUUAAUUUUCUAAUGAACAGAGCAAGGAGAAGAACUCGUAAACUACAUUCCUGGGAUAACACCAAUUCGUGUAGAGGAUCUCCCAUCUGUAAUCUACGGCAAACAAAGGAAGUUAUUGCCCUUUCUUCUCGAAUAUGUAUCACAAUUGGCCAAUAAGGCACAAUACGCCUUGUUCACCACCAUUGAAGCAUUGGAAUCUCAAGUGCUAGAGGCUUUACAAGCUGAAUUACCAGUCCCCAUUUUCACAGUUGGUUUAACAAUCCCUUGCUUGGAUACCGAAUUCAAGUCCAACCAGCCUAGUCCAAACUACUUGUCAUGGCUUGAUGAUCAACCUAAGGACUCUGUUCUAUACAUAUCCCAAGGAAGUUUCAUGUCUGUAUCAAAAGAACUGCUAGAUGAAAUUAUAGCAGGUGUGCACAGCAGCGGUGUCCGAACGUUUUGGGUGUCAAGUGAGAAUGCAUCCUUACUUACAGACGGAAUUGGGAAGAGGGGAAUCGUGGUGCCUUGGUGCGACCAAUUGAAAGUUUUGUGCCAUCCUAGUGUAGGUGGAUUUUGGUCGCAUUGUGGAUGGAAUUCAACCAAGGAAGGUGCAUUUGCUGGUGUUCCAUUUCUUACGUUCCCCAUUGGGGCUGAUCAAGGUACCAACAGUAAACAAAUAGUGGAGGACUGGAAGAUUGGGUGGAGGAUCAAUAAGGAUCGCGAGAACCUGGUUAAGAGAGAUGAAAUCGCUCAGCUUUUGCAGAGUUUUAUGGACCUUGACAGCUACGAAGGAAAAGAAAUGAGAAGAAGAGCAAUGGAAAUAAGGAACACCUGCCUAGAAGCAAUUGAAGGCGGCACCAUCCAGGGAAAUAUCGACAAGUUCAUUCGGG
rnacentral:lncRNA from 1 species